rfam:Danio rerio chromosome 4, GRCz11 reference primary assembly.
GCCCGGCUAGCUCAGUCGGUUGAGCAUGAGACUCUUAAUGUCAGGGUUGUGGGUUCGAGCCCCACGUUGGGCG